GCGGAUGUAGCUCAGCUGGAUAGAGCAUCUGCCUCCUAAGCAGGGGGUCGCGCGUUCGAAUCGCGCCAUUCGCACCA
rnacentral:tRNA from 1 species